GACGGAGGAUGCAAGUGUUAUCCGGAAUCACUGGGCGUAAAGCGUCUGUAGGUUGUUUAAAAAGUCUGCAGUUAAAGGUUGAAGCUUAACUUCAAAAAUGCCGUAGAAACUUUUAAACUAGAGGAUGGUAGGGGUAGAGGGAAUUUCCAGUGGAGCGGUGAGAUGUGUAGAUAUUGGAAAGACCACCGAUGGCGAAGGCACUCUACUGGGCCAUGACUGACACUGAGAGACGAAAGCUAGGGGAGCAAAUGGG
rnacentral:rRNA from 1 species